AGCAAAUAAACCUAAGGGCAUGUUCAGUUUAUCAGAUAUGACCAGAUUUGGAUAUUGAUCAAAUUCUGUUGUUCAGGUUGUUUGUUAAAUUUAUGGAAGGCCCAGGCAUGGGGCUCAGCCCGCAACUGUUCAUCAGAAUUGCUCUUGCAAUAAAUCUCACCAAAUGGGUGGUUUUCAAUUCUUGGGAGCCCAGAAUUGAGGGACUUGGACAUCGAAAAGACAUUUUUGCCCCCAAAUUUUUAGAUUCCCCUCCAAAUCGAGAAUUUGUGCACACCUUACGGCGGCAAUGGCUGGGUAGUUUCUCAUGGCGACAAUGGCGGGGAUGGGAAAUCCGAUGAGGGGAGAUGCAUACCGCCACACCACCGUUGGUUUCUGAUACCACCGCGGCGGAUUUCUCUGAAAGUGCGUGGCAGCCGCUGCAUAGGGCUUCGAUCCAGGUGAGCGUUAGGGCCAGAGCGAGGCAGCGGGCUCCCUUCAAUUUUCGUUUCCCCAUCUGUGCAGAGAAGCAAACGUGGAGGCGGCGACAACAAAGGUGGAAGUAGAGGUGGAAGCUGUGGAUAUGGAGGUAGCGGUAGCUACAACGAAGGUGGUGGUGCCUGUAAAAUUUGAGAUGAAAAUGAUUUUCCACAGCUUUUGGAGGUUGAAGGGUAUGGCUCGGAAUUAUGAAAAUAUUUGGAGGUUUUUUUCGUCCUCUUACCGGAAAAAAAGAAAUAUCACUUUUAUUUAUGGAUCUUAAUUCAUGGAUACUGAAUACAUGGAUAUAAUUCAAAAUAGGUGGGCCAUACCAUUUGAAAUCUGGCCAAGAAUUAAUUCUGUGCAUUUGCUAAAAGGGACAGUGAAAGGGUCCUAAAGAAAUUGUUGUAUGGGCUGGACUUUUGGGCCAUUAAUGAUUAGGUUUGUGAGCCCAAAUUGUUGUUCAUGUUUUUUCGCGCGAAAAGCCUGCAAUUAAACGACUUGAAAAUAAUUAAGAGAAAUGAAAGUUGCAGAUCAAAAACAAAAGCAAGCCGCGCGCUAAACUGUUUCCCUAAUUCCCUUGGCAUUUUUUCUACGCCUACUGUUUUUUUGGGAUACGGGAAAAUUCAGUGCGCACAAGCCGGACAUUUGAUGUUUAGUUUUAAACCUUUUGUUUUUGCCUGUUAUUGGGUUAGUUUAUUUCGGGUUUAGUGAAAUGAAUUUUGCAUUCGUUAGACUGUUCUGAUGGUGUGAAAUGUUUCAGAUUUCAAGUGGAAUGAAUUCUCAUGAUUAUAGAGACGUUAGUGUUUGUUUACGGAGGAGUUUUAGUUGCUGUAGGGUUUGCCAUAGUUCCUAGCUCUGUAUCACUAGGACGUACUUGGAGUCUGAUUGAGAUUUGUGGAGAUCAAAAUUAUUCAGGAAUGAUUCUUACUGCUCGAUGGAUGAAGUUCUUCUUAGUGAAAAUGUUUGCCUCUCUAUUUGAAUUUUGCAUCACCUUUCGAAUUUUCAUCACUUUCAUUUCACAGUUACAACAUUAUCUGCAUUCUCUGUUCUCUGCUGGGGUGAGACGAUGUCAAUCGCACAACCGUUAGAUAUGUACUUAUGCAUUCAUUUCUCAGUCCAUCUAAUAGGUUUUCAAUACCACUAAAAUAUCCUUUUCCCUUAUUGAAAAGCUAAAUUGAUUGCCUGGUAUUGCUGAAACCAAUGAUUUAAUCGGAGAGCCGACAAUAUCUAGAUGCAGAUAGCUAUCUUUACUGCCUUCACAUAGUGACCAAGCAGCCAACCUGUUUGGGCUUAUCCAGAGCAGCUGAGAUUUUUUAUGACAUCUGAAACCUGUAAAGUGUUGCAGUUGAUCCCGAAAGAUUUAGGCUCCCUAUCAAACUCAUUACAGAAUUAUUUACAGGUUACGCACUUCCAAGGUUCACACAGCUCACAGUGGCAUCCUAGUGUUCAUUUCUUACUAGAUGCACUGAGGAUGACCAUGUUUCUCGAGUUCAGCAUUAAGAGCUUAGAUGAUUAGUCGCAGGUGCUGCAGGUUGAAUAUAUUUAUACACCAUUUGCUUCAGUUUUAUAAUCUACUUAUCUGAAACUGGUACUAAUAUGUAAAAUUUUGAAGAGAUUAUCCCCCUUCUCUUUUUGGUGAAAGUUUUAUGCGCUGCCUCUUGAAUCUUUACAGUUUGCUUUUUACUCAUAUGGUGGGUAUAUGCUGGUGUACCAUCAAUGGAACAUAGAAAUAUCUACUCUGGAAAGACUAAGGGUGAUUUACAAUAAGAUUUAGGCAGCAUUUAGUGUGGACAAUUUCAAAUAUAUAGUCCAGUAUGCUUGAUAGUUGUUGGCAAUGCUUUACUUUAAGAUUUUUACAGUGUAUGUUAGGGUUUGUAUGCAUUGAGUUUUAUAUUGGGAGUACAGAAGGUUGAUGACCCUUGAAUUUCUGGUUAAAACAGUUCUCAUUUUUAAGGUUUCACAGUUGUGAAAUGACUCCUUGAGCCUGUAAGUUGUAACUGUCUCAGUAAAACAUGGGUAUCUUACCGUGAUAUAUUGUAUAUUUGUAUACUCAGUCAAUUCUUAUAGCAGAGAUCUAUCCAACUUAUGAUCAUAAAUGCUCACAACUCAAGAAAGGUACUGUUUGCUAAGUUGAACUCCUUCAUAUUAGUACUAUCUUGAAUAAUAUCAAAUGUCAGUACUUGAUUGUGCCAUUACCUAUUAGAUACGGCCAUAAUACAGUUAAUUUGUUAUUAAAGCAAAAGAGAUUGGUGACUGAAUAUAUGGUACUGAUGCAGCUCUGUAUCCAAUAUAAAACGUUUAUAGCCUCUGUGCUAAAUAAAUGUGAUAUUAUAUAGUACUAGUAUACAGUGGCAUCUAGGGAAUGCAAAGGGCGUGCUCUAAAUUCUUGAGUGCCUAUUGUGUAUGUUUUUUUCAAUUUGUCUAUUGAUUGCUGUUAUGCUGGAUCCAACAAUAUUGAUAAUGAGGGAGUAGCAUACAUUGCUAUCUUAUCUUAGAAAUAUUAGCACAAAGAGAGGGUAAAGACAUUAAGAGAGUGAAAUUCCUUUAAUCCUAAACAUGUUUGCAGUUUGUAAUUAUGAAGUAGACUUUUGAUGCAUGCCUCACAUAAAUUGAGGCAUUCUGCUGGAUGCAAGUUGGAAGCAUUCAUAUGUGUUGUUGAAAUACUUGGGAGAGGUAGGGGCGCUCAUGUCUGGGGUCCUUGUUGUUUUAUGUGGAUGGAAUUUUGUGCAAUAUUAAUUGAGCUGCAGAAAGUUUUAUUGUCUACUUAAUAUGAUCACCUAAUUGCUAGUAUCACAUUUACCAGUUUUUUAUUAGGUAAAUGCCAACCUUGAUGAAAACUUGUCAUCUUUGAAAUCAGAUAAUAGGGGAGGUGCCGGGACAUGUGUGUGGUUAAGCUAAGCUAUACGAGCAUCUCUCAUUAUCAAUGUACAUGUAUAAUAGAAUACAUACAUGUGGCACCAUAUAUCAUCUUUUUGUCUUGAUUGCAUGAACCCAACACCCCCCCCUGCGCACUUUAGCAUGGGGCACUGUUCAAACUGUCAACCUCGUCUGCAAGCUUUAUAGAGCUGUGGACCGAUGUUACUUAAAUUCCAUGGUUGUGUGACUGUGGUCCUAAGUUUCAUAUAUGUGUGCUCAUCAUAUGUCUUUGUUAUUGGCUUCUUUAUUAGUCAACUUUUUCUGUGCAUUUGUUUCUGUAGGUAUCCUCUAUUUAUCCCCCAUCAGAGGGAAUUAGUUGGUGGGCCUGGAGAUAGUUGGCUUGUACUAUCAUUGCCACAGUAGCAAUUUGCUAAAAUUAGUACCGGAUUUGUCAAUGCAUGUUAAUACACCACUGCAGAUUCACAUGCCGAAGCAGUAGGAUCUCCCCAGCCAUGUAUAUAUUUGUAUAUAUUUGUACACAUUAUUACGUGGGAGAUAGAUGUAUCUGUAUAGAGGAUCUAUAUAGAGGAUAAAGGAGCCUGAAUAAUUUUUCUGGGCAAAUUACAAAAAAAAUUAUAUUAUAAAUUUUUAUGUUUUUUCUCAA